rnacentral:rRNA from 1 species
AUGCCAGAAAUGACAGCAUUAAUGAGGUUUGCAAAGGAGAAGAUCAAUCAAGGUUUUCCCCACCAAAACAAGCAAGCUUUGCUCAAGAAGAUCAUUGACAUUGUUGACAAACGUUGGGAGAAUCAAAUGGAUCAUCCAUUAUAUGGGGCUGCUUUGUUUUUGAACCCUGGAAAAUACUUCUCUAUUGUUGAGAGUGGUGAUGAUGCCCUAAUUGGUGAGCUAAGAAGUUGUUUUAAUGAUGUCCUUGCACGAACAGUACUUGAUGUCAAUACUCGCAACAAGAUUGAUGCACAAGCCGUUGACUAUGAGGACAAGAGAGGACCCUUUGCUAAUCAGAUGGCAAUCGAUAACAUGGUCGGAAAAAACCCUCUUGAUUGGUGGCGUUCAUAUGCUGGUCGGGCAGUUGAGCUACAAAGGUUUGCAAAGCGUACUGUUAGUCUUUGUGCUUCAUCAUCCGGUUGUGAGAGGAAUUGGAGCGCAUUUGAACAUAUCCAUACCAAGAAAAGGAACCGGUUACAACACCGACUCUUGAAUGACAAUGUCUUUGUUUCAUACAACCGGAAGAACUUGGAUAGGUUUCAAAAGAGGCGUGAGAAGAUGGGUGGCAAUAACUAUGACCCUCUAGUCAUUGAGGAUUUUGAUUGGGGCAAUGAGUGGGUUGACCCAACAAUAUCUCCACCCCAAGGUGCUCGAGGGUGUCCCGAUGACAUUUCAUGGGAGCUUGUUGAUGAGGCUGUUGGUGCAAGUUCGUCGCUGCAAGGUCGCAACUUUCCUAGAGCUAGCACCAUGGCAAGGGGGGCCUCAAAUGUUAAUGUCCAGUACCAAAGGCAGCGCAAAAGGGCUGCUCCGUCACCAACAUUUCUUCAUGAAGAUGACGAAGAGGAUGACCAAGAACAACAAUCAAGUAUCCCCAAUGGAGAGGAUGAUGAUUCAGACUUUCUUCAAGAUGAUGUUGAUGUGACCGAUGAUGAUGAAGAUCCAACUAGUGCUGACCAAGAUGGCGAAGACAACACAAAUGCUAUCAUGGAUGAGUUCGAUGAUGGCUAUUGA